UGCACUUGGAUCAGGAAGUUCAUUCCGGAACCUUCAAAAAGCAAACAAGUAAAAAUAGUGUUGGCAUUGAUAGUAGGAAGCAAAGAACUUUAUAAUAGAUGCAAGAAUACCAUUUCAAAUCAAAAUAUUGCUUGCCUGCCCAAUGGAUCACAUUAGCAAAACUAAAAUUAAAAAUUCAGUUCAAGAUUCAAUAAUCAAGAAAAGCAUUAGUGAAGAUGGGUUUUUCUUUCAAAGUAAACAUGAUUAGAGAAGAAGGGACCUGCCCAUUUACACAGAGUAUUUUUCAGGUAUUAUCUGGCAAUUCAAAACCAUUGCAUAUAAGCAGCAGUUUCAUGUUAUCCCACUGUGUUUAGAUCCAUCCAGUGGAAACAUUUAGAAAGACAAAAACAGAAAAUUUAGGAUCUAUCAUCCAAGUUAAUUAAUUCCUAGAUGUAUUGGUCCAUGCAAAACUUCAAAAUACCUAAUUUCAAGAAAAUGAACAAAAAUUGUGAAACUUAAUGCAUUACACCUAAUUAUCCUAUAUCUACAGCAACAAACUAUCAUUAGUGAUCUACAGGAGUUAAAGUACUAGCAAGAGCGGUAGCUGAGCAGCUGAUCAAUUUUUCGAAAGCAACAUUACCAUGCUCCAAAAUUAACCCACUAAAGCAAGCUGCUACACAUUCGACUGGCGAUAAUUUUUCCGUUACUUUCAAAGAAAAAAAAAAAGAGAAGAAUUAAUGAUUUGGACGCUUCUAAAAUAAGUGAAUUUGUGUCAAACCCAAAUUUUAUGUCAAAAAACUCACUUCAAUUUGCAUAAGAACGUUGUUGGCUUCUUCAACCUAUUC
rnacentral:misc_RNA from 1 species